rnacentral:lncRNA from 1 species
AGAAAAGUCACAGUCUCCCGGCCAACGGAACAACACGGAAGAACCCGGAGGGCCUUACUCCGGGGAAGGAUCCCACUUCACGCAGCACAGGAGCUUACACGGAGCAUCUCGCCGCUGGGAGGUGUGUCCGACUGGGCUCCGCACAGGCUCGGCCUAUUAGGUUGUUUGCAGACUCGCGGGCCCGGAUCCUGGGCAGCUCGGCGCCGUUGCCCACGCCCCGGACUCCAGCUCGCGUUGCCCCAAAGCCCAUCAGCUAAAACAGCUUUGCGUCAAGAACCAGUGG